GACGAACGCUGGCGGCGUGCCUAAUACAUGCAAGUCGAACGCAGUGGGGACGGGUGAGUAACACGUGGGUAACCUCCCAUCAGAGGGGAUAACACUUGGAAACAGGUGCUAAACCGAUAUUGGUGGAUGGACCCGCGGUGCAUUAGCUAGUUGGUGAGGUAACGGCUCACCAAGGCCACGAUGCAUAGCCAACCUGAUGGGGUGAUCGGUCACACUGAGACUGAGACACGGCCCAGACUCCUACGGGAGGCAGCAGUAGGGAUUCUUCGUGAAUGGACGAAAGUCUGACCGAGCAACGCCGCGUGAGUGAAGGAGGUUUUCGGAUCGUAAAACUCUGUUGUUAGAGAAGCGGUAUCUAACCAGAAAGCCACGGCUAACUACGUGCCAGCAGCCGCGGUAAUUC
rnacentral:rRNA from 1 species